rfam:Oryza barthii chromosome 10, whole genome shotgun sequence.
CCUAAGUAUAAUUUUAACACUAUUCAUGCUCAAUGUUUGACCGUUCGUCUUAUUUGAAAAACAAUUAUGAUUAGUAUUUUUAUUGUUAUUAGAUAAUACAUGAAUAGUACUUUAUGUGUGACUAAUAUUUUUAAUUUUUUUCAUAAAAUUUUUAAAUAAGACGGACGGUCAAAACGCUGGACACGGAUAUCUAUGGCUGUACUUUUU